rnacentral:misc_RNA from 1 species
AAGCCAGUGCCUGGUGCGGACGUCAGUGGAGUGAGAGUGGUUACGAAGCGGCAGCCCAGGCAAUAUAUGAACCGAAGGGGAGGAUUCAAUCGGCCAUUGCCUCCAGAACGGAAUCGCUAGCUAUUUUCUUAGUCUGGCAAGAUGGAAGUAUCUUUAAGCAUAGGUGAUAUGUUGGUAACUUGAAUGGUUGAAUCACAUCAAUGGACCCAAAUGAAAGACCUUGUAAGCUGGAGUCUCCUGCAUUAUCUUGAGAUAAGGUCUUUGUAUUAAUAUUGUGUUUAAAAUUUUACUCUAGCUCUUCAAGAAGUAAUCGGAGUGCUUGCAUUUAGAUUAUAUGGCUUUUGGUUUAGAUGACCCCUACCAGAUGUAUCCUAUGA